GCUUUCUGGAGGUCAAAGCUUAUCUCAGUCCUAAUCAAUAUUUGUCUUGACAGAGAAACUGCAGAGGAGAGACAUCUGUUGGUCCAGGAAGCAUCUAUCAAACAUCAGAGCAUUCUCAAGAGUCAUCUUGGCCUAUUGAGAACAUCUCUAAGGACCUCUACAUAGAAGUCUAUCCAGGGACCUAUUCUGUCACUGUGGGCUCAGGUGCCUUAAGCAAGAAGACGCAUGUGGUUGCAGUUGACUCGGGGCAAAGUGUGGACUUGGUGUUCCCCGUAUGAUGUUGACAUCACUGCCAUCAUUUCACUCUAAGAAGAAGAAUAAAACCACCCUAUAACUGUCUUAAU
rnacentral:lncRNA from 1 species